CCAAGCCAAUUAGGUGCCAACUCUUGGCUAACCUAUAUUAGAAUAUGAUCUAAUCAAAUUAGAUCAAUUAAGAAUCAGAUUCGAAUCCAAUUCGAAUCAGAUUCGAAUCCAAUUCGAAUCAGAUUCGAAUCCAAUUCGAAUUAGGAGCUAAAGUUUGCAACACCUGCUAGGAUGUUUAUCUUGCAAACAUGAUCUAAUCCAAUUAGAUCCUUGAUAAGUUUUCUUGUGUGUGACCCAUUGGGUUCCAUACUUAGCCAGCAAUAGGUGUGAGUGCGAGUUGACCCAACUUGAUUAGAACUCUUCUAAUCGAAUUAAGUCCAAACUGCGCGAAUCUGAACUUAACAAUUAGAAUCCUUUCUAAUUGGUGAUCGAAUUAAACUCUUUAAUUUGAUCAAACCUAUAAAACAAGAUUGACGCCUAGCAACGUGUCAUGUCUACCUGGAAAAUAUGGAAUUUGGUGGACAUACCAAAAAUACCCUUCAGUGGCAAGUUACCAUGCAAUUCAAUCCUCUAAUCAAACUGCAUCCCAAAUAUGUAUAUGAGUAUGAAUAUAUGUCAAACUCAAUUUCAUAUUCAUAUUUUUCUCAAUCUUUUAAUGAUAAUUCAAAUAAUAAAACAUUAGAAACUAUUUCUAAUUUUCAUUCUGCUUUGAUCAAAGGCUUCCUGAAUUAUCAUAUGAUUAGAAUAAAUAGGAUGCUAUCUUCUCUUACUAGAAGUGAUUAAUUUCUUGUUGACCUACUCAUAAUCUUCGUACACAAUUCACCAUAUCCAGAAGACCUCGUACAUAACUUAUUGUCAUGAAUGAGUGUAAACCAAAAUAUGGGUUUAUGUGCACAAGAUACCAUGGUGAUCUCAGGUCAUAGGAUCAGUUGCACAACUCCCACUAAGAGAAUCAUCUUUUGACAUGUAAGUAAGUCUUCAUAAGAUUUCUCUUUGUAGGUCAAUUCAGUGAACUCAUUCCUCUAAUGAGCACCCACAU
rnacentral:lncRNA from 1 species